AGUCGAACGGCAGCGCGGGGCAACCUGGCGGCGAGUGGCGAACGGGUGAGUAAUAUAUCGGAACGUACCCAAGAGUGGGGGAUAACGUAGCGAAAGUUACGCUAAUACCGCAUACGAUCUAUGGAUGAAAGUGGGGGAUUCGCAAGAACCUCAUGCUCCUGGAGCGGCCGAUAUCUGAUUAGCUAGUUGGUGAGGUAAAGGCUCACCAAGGCGACGAUCAGUAGCUGGUCUGAGAGGACGACCAGCCACACUGGAACUGAGACACGGUCCAGACUCCUACGGGAGGCAGCAGUGGGGAAUUUUGGACAAUGGGCGCAAGCCUGAUCCAGCAAUGCCGCGUGAGUGAAGAAGGCCUUCGGGUUGUAAAGCUCUUUUGUCAGGGAAGAAACGGUCGAGGCUAAUACCUUUGGCUAAUGACGGUACCUGAAGAAUAAGCACCGGCUAACUACGUGCCAGCAGCCGCGGUAAUACGUAGGGUGCAAGCGUUAAUCGGAAUUACUGGGCGUAAAGCGUGCGCAGGCGGUUUUGUAAGUCUGUCGUGAAAUCCCCGGGCUCAACCUGGGAAUUGCGAUGGAGACUGCAAGGCUAGAAUCUGGCAGAGGGGGGUAGAAUUCCACGUGUAGCAGUGAAAUGCGUAGAGAUGUGGAGGAACACCGAUGGCGAAGGCAGCCCCCUGGGUCAAGAUUGACGCUCAUGCACGAAAGCGUGGGGAGCAAACAGGAUUAGAUACCCUGGUAGUCCACGCCCUAAACGAUGUCUACUAGUUGUCGGGUCUUAAUUGACUUGGUAACGCAGCUAACGCGUGAAGUAGACCGCCUGGGGAGUACGGUCGCAAGAUUAAAACUCAAAGGAAUUGAC
rnacentral:rRNA from 1 species